CUUCAGGCGUCACAGAUACAAAACACCUUCCAGACAUGAAACGCGGGAUGGAUGACCCUGAGGGACACAGAUUCAGCUAGGAUGCUCUCGGCUGUCAGCAGCCCAGCUUGCAGGUCUGGAUCAGUGGUUUUUGGAGGAGGCAGCAAGUGGACUCUGUAUUUUUCAGCAGACUCGGCAGUGAAACACAAGAAUUUCUCCUGCCCUGACAGCUUUCCAUGUUGGCAGGAUAUGGGAGGCCUUCUGAAGGGGUGUCAUAACGGUGUUGAAGCAGAGAGUUGUCUGGUACCAUUCUGUCAUGACCCCUCUGACUGACACAUGGUGGGCACCAAGAGACUUCAAAAAGCCAGAAAGUUGGCAGUGGAAGACUGAAGACAGAGAAGUGAUGAUGUGGGAUGUUGGGAGGCUGGCGGUGAAGACAAGGAGGACUGGCAUUUGUGGCACACAGUGUCCUGACAGUGUUUUAAAUAGAAAACCUAAUGUUUUCUUGUGUAUAACAUUUUCUUACAAAAACAUCUUGUGGUCAUGAGGGGAAACCAAACAGAACAUUUCAAUCGGUACCCACUGUCAUUUGACGAAAGCCAAAUAUGUCACACCAGAUUAGUUAGAUUGAAAAACUUGUGAUAAAGGCUCCCUGCGCCCCUCUGAAACUAAUUAAGAAAGAGAUAAAAGAACUUUGGUUUGGUAGAACAGACUGUUCACUGAAGCAAGCUGCCAUUUAAUUUCAUGCUGAGCUUGCUUAAUUACUCCACAAAAUAUGAUCAUGAGGGAUGAAGCAUGUAAACUUGUGUGUGUAUUUUUGAAUGUGGGUACAGGCGAGGGAAAAGUAUUGCCAAUAUGGCUUGUAAUGCUCUUUUGGCUCCUGACUAUAAUUUAUGAAAGUGGUCUCACAGUUUUGAUAGAAGCACCCCACUAUAACUAAUUCUAUUUAGAGGAAGAUGCUAAAUUGGUGCCUGUUCAUGCUUUGUUCUAGCAGCCCACCUUUCAUUAAUGCUGUUCUCCAGCUGGUUGUCAGGAAAUAACCAGGACAUUAGGCUUAGGGAGACAUCUGCCUUGGGUGCCAUCACCACAGGUCAAUACUACAAAAUUGUGACUUUGGUCAGUUGUCACUAUGACAAUCCUCAGUCAGCCUUUCUUAUCUAAAUGUUUUUUUUUUCCCAGCAAUAAACACACCAGAGAUUUCUUCAGGGAGAAUAAAAGAGUAAGCAAAGUAGAGAGUUAAAAAAACCAACUAAUUUUUGACCCUCUGUGUCUCUGAAGAUUAUAGAAAAAGUCCUCAUGGACGCACUUCCAGGCAGAGGAAAGACAAGAACACAACUGGGAACAGCCAGCACAGGUUUCCCAAGAGUGUAUUUUGCCUGUCCAACCUUCUAGGUGGACAGGACUGGCUCUCUAGAUGAAAGGAGAGCAUUGGACAAGCGGCCUUGGUUUUAGCAAGUUUUGCAGCAGAAUCUCUCCUGGCAACGAAAAAAAACUUAGGAUGGUAUGGACUGGAUGGAUGAUAUAGAAAAUGAGUGAAAAAUAGAUUGGACAGAGAUCAAAUCUUUAUUUGUCAAUGGCUGAUAGCGGAACCAAUACUGCUUAAAAUAUUUUGAGAGCUUGGACAAAGGGAUAGGAUGCACUGUCUUUGAGCUUUCAGAUGAUAUCAGACUUAAUAAAAUUACUGAUAUGCUGGACCAUAAUGUGAAAUGAGACAGCAGGAUGCCACUUUAGUGAUGAAGGCUCAGCACACAUUUUAGCAGCAGCCAAGCCAAUAGAUUGAAGGUGAUUGUUCUACUCUGGUCAGUACUUGUGGAGUUGAAUUGUGAGAAUUGUAUCAAGUUUUGAACCCCACAGAAAGAGAGGUAAUAUAAACUGUAAGAAGUACAGAAGAGGGUCACUGAGCUAGGAGGGUAACUCAAGCAUAAGAUAGACCAUGCAAGGCUAGUGGAGCUGAGUAUUUUAAAGCUGUAGAAUCUCCAUUCUUGGAGAUUUUCAAAACUCAUUUACACAAAGCCAUAGGCAGCCUGACCUAAUUUUUAAUUUAGCCCUAUUUUGAGCAAUGGGGUUAGACUAUGAAGACCUCCAGAGGUUCCUUCCAAUCUACAUUAUUCUGAAUUUCUUCCCAAAUUAGUCCUCUUUCCAACUGGUUGAUAUGCAUGACUUGGAAAAUACUGGAAAACACUGCUGUCAUUGCACAGAGGCAGUGAGCCAUGCAGCAGCUAUAUAUUCCCAGAUCUGUUGACCUGCACACAAGAACUCUUUUUAGUGUUUCUCCAUAACUGAGCAAGAGAUUUGCUCUGCAUCGAGGAAGAAGUGAUUGUAUGGCUAAGAGCUCCAAGUAGAAAAAAACAAUGUAAAAAGUAAAAAUCAGACCAAUUACUCUUUGGCAUUUGCCUAAAACACUUUGCAGAGAUGGAUUAAUAUGCAGAGCUUGUCUGGAACUCAGCAUGGCUGACAGGAGCUCUGAAGUAAUCCUUCUGAUGUCUUGCAGCCCAGAAGUUGGCCCACUGGACCAUGUUGGAGUCAAAGACUUUAGGGCUUCAAGAUUCAUUGCAAUGGGAGAAAAGUUUUGGCUUACAGAGCUAUGCAGGAGUGACACAAAAAAAUUACCUGAGCAUUAAGACUGAUUAUCUUCCAUAAAAAAAUUUUAUCAAUUAUAUUUUAUAGAAAUUAUAUUUAUAUAUAUAUAUUUACAUUGAUAUCUAUGUAAAUAACAUAUAAAUUCCAAUAAAUUUUCAUAAGCAUUCAGUGUAAAGUA